rnacentral:rRNA from 1 species
UACGUAGGGGGCAAGCGUUGUCCGGAUUUAUUGGGCGUAAAGCGCUCGCAGGCGGUCCGAUGCGUCGUGCGUGAAAGACCCCGGCUCAACUGGGGAGGGUCGUGCGAUACGGUCGGACUCGAGGCCAGUAGGGGGACGCGGAAUUCCGGGUGUAGUGGUGGAAUGCGUAGAGAUCCGGAGGAACACCAGCGGCGAAGGCGGCGUCCUGGACUGGUACUGACGCUCAGGAGCGAAAGCGUGGGGGACGAGUCCGG